CUACGGGUGGCUGCAGUGAGGAAUAUUGGUCAAUGGCCGAGAGGCUGAACCAGCCAUCCCGCGUGCAGGAUGACGGCCCUAUGGGUUGUAAACUGCUUUUCUACGCCAAGAAAUCUGAUUACGUGUAAUUAGUUGACGGUAGCGUAGGAAUAAGCAUCGGCUAACUCCGUGCCAGCAGCCGCGGUAAUACGGAGGAUGCAAGCGUUAUCCGGAUUCAUUGGGUUUAAAGGGUGCGCAGGCGGGCUUGUAAGUCAGUGGUGAAAUACUGCCGCUUAACGGUAGAACUGACAUUGAUACUGCAAGUCUUGAAUAUGGUUGAGGUAGGCGGAAUGUGUUGUGUAGCGGUGAAAUGCAUAGAUAUGACACAGAACGCCGAUUGCGAAGGCAGCUUACUAAGCCAUUAUUGACGCUGAGGCACGAAAGCGUGGGGAGCGAACAGGAUUAGAUACCCUCGUAGUC
rnacentral:rRNA from 1 species